UACAGAGGUGGCAAGCGUUGUUCGGAAUUACUGGGCGUAAAGGGCGCGUAGGCGGCUUGGUCAGUCCCGUGUGAAAUCCCUCGGCUCAACUGAGGAACUGCACGGGAAACUGCCUGGCUUGAGUUUGGGAGAGGGAUGCGGAAUUCCAGGUGUAGCGGUGAAAUGCGUAGAUAUCUGGAGGAACACCGGUGGCGAAGGCGGCAUCCUGGACCAAUACUGACACUGAGGAGCGAAAGCCAGGGGAGCAAACGGG
rnacentral:rRNA from 1 species